UACGGAGGGGGCGAGCGUUAUUCGGAAUUAUUGGGCGUAAAGCGCGCGUAGGCGGUUACUUAAGUCGGAUGUGAAAGCCCUCGGCUUAACUGAGGAAGUGCACCCGAAACUGAGUAGCUAGAGUGCGAAAGAGGGUCGCGGAAUUCCCGGUGUAGAGGUGAAAUUCGUAGAUAUCGGGAGGAACACCGGUGGCGAAGGCGGCGACCUGGGUCGAGACUGACGCUGAGGCGCGAAAGCGUGGGGAGCAAACAGG
rnacentral:rRNA from 1 species